rnacentral:snoRNA from 1 species
AUCCCAUGGUGCAGACAGGGGGCGACAUACUCUUGCAUUCUCGCCCAAGCAUCAGGAAUGGAUUCCUCAUCUUAUUGUGUAAAACUAGAGAUUUUAUUGCAAAGAGC